rnacentral:rRNA from 1 species
CCUACGGGUAGCAGCAGUGGGGAAUAUUGCACAAUGGGCGCAAGCCUGAUGCAGCCAUGCCGCGUGUGUGAAGAAGGCCUUCGGGUUGUAAAGCACUUUCAGCGGGGAGGAAGGCGGUGAGGUUAAUAACCUCAUCGAUUGACGUUACCCGCAGAAGAAGCACCGGCUAACUCCGUGCCAGCAGCCGCGGUAAUACGGAGGGUGCAAGCGUUAAUCGGAAUUACUGGGCGUAAAGCGCACGCAGGCGGUCUGUCAAGUCGGAUGUGAAAUCCCCGGGCUCAACCUGGGAACUGCAUUCGAAACUGGCAGGCUAGAGUCUUGUAGAGGGGGGUAGAAUUCCAGGUGUAGCGGUGAAAUGCGUAGAUAUCUGGAGGAAUACCGGUGGCGAAGGCGGCCCCCUGGACAAAGACUGACGCUCAGGUGCGAAAGCGUGGGGAGCAAACAGGAUUAGAUACCCGGGUAGUC